AUUGAACGCUGGCGGCAGGCCUAACACAUGCAAGUCGGACGGUAGCACAGAGGAGCUUGCUCCUUGGUUGACGAGUGGCGGACGGGUGAGUAAUGUCUGGGGAUCUGCCCGAUAGAGGGGGAUAGCCACUGGAAACGGUGGCUAAUACCGCAUAACGUCGCAAGGCCAAAGAGGGGGACCUUCGGGCCUCUCACUAUCGGAUGAACCCAGAUAGGAUUAGCUAGUAGGCGGGGUAAUGGCCCACCUAGGCGACGAUCCCUAGCUGGUCUGAGAGGAUGACCAGCCACACUGGAACUGAGACACGGUCCAGACUCCUACGGGAGGCAGCAGUGGGGAAUAUUGCACAAUGGGCGCAAGCCUGAUGCAGCCGUGCCGCGUGUAUGAAGAAGGCCUUCGGGUUGUAAAGUACUUUCAGCGGGGAGGAAGGCGAUGCGGUUAAUAACCGCGUCGAUUGACGUUACCCGCAGAAGAAGCACCGGCUAACUCCGUGCCAGCCGCCGCCGUAA
rnacentral:rRNA from 1 species